rfam:Aspergillus ruber CBS 135680 unplaced genomic scaffold scaffold00004, whole genome shotgun sequence.
GCUCGCAUGGCUUAGUUGGUAAAGCGCAUCACUAGUAAUGAUGAGAUCCUCGGUUCGAAUCCGAGUGCGAGCA